GCCUUCGUAGACCAUGGUGGUCGCCUCGCACUUGUCACCCAUUUCCAAUUUUCAAGUGUAGUGAGGAGCCGGGGGUUCGACUCCCCCCGAAGGCA